AACUAAAUAAAUUUUCCAGGAAAAUUCGCUACAUUUCAUUUUCGGCAAACCAAACAUAGCCGAUUCCGGCCACCAUGUGGGUGCAGAUUCUUUGCGGUCUCGUAAUUUACAAACCGUUCAAGCAAAGCUUCUACGGCGACGACGUUUUGGACAUCGAAACCUCCGAUUCUAAUGCGAUUUUCUCAGUUGCAAAUAGAUUAGAGACGCUUUAUGGAGGUAAGGCACACGUGGGGCUCCGAAUUCUGGAUCCGGAUACGGGUUCGUGACAGAAUAUAGAUAUUGUUCUUGUUACUAAAGGGGAGGCCGUGUGGUUUCUGUGAAGAAUUUUUCAGGAUUUGUAUCAAUCAAUGGAGAUGGCAGCUGUGUUUGUGAAGGCCAGCAUGGGCACAGAUCACAGCAUUAUCCUGACCCUGUGGAGGAAGGUAAAAAACAAGCUUCAGUUCUUGAAUCAUAUCUUGAACAAAGGGGAGUUGCCCUGCUAGAAGGAUAUUUCUCGUACAAAGUGAUACCUCCUAAUCCAAAAUUUUCAUAUGUGUUUAAAUCUCCAUAAUGGUGUGCCCAGGAUUGCAGUUUAGUGUAUUCUGCUGUAAGUGGGGAGCUUUGAUGUACUUUUCAGUUGCUUUAACUGAUGAAUGCAUAUCGCAUUAUGACAGAAUUACUGAUUUUAUAUUGUCCUGUAUCUAUUACUGUAAUUUUGAUGAAAUUUCUUAAACAAUAAAUUUAUGCCUGUGCUAUUGGUGAUAAA